rnacentral:rRNA from 1 species
CAGUCGCCGCGGGAAUACGGAGGGAGCUAGCGUUGUUCGGAAUUACUGGGCGUAAAGCGCGCGUAGGCGGUUACUCAAGUCAGAGGUGAAAGCCCGGGGCUCAACCCCGGAACUGCCUUUGAAACUAGGUGACUAGAAUCUUGGAGAGGUCAGUGGAAUUCCGAGUGUAGAGGUGAAAUUCGUAGAUAUUCGGAAGAACACCAGUGGCGAAGGCGACUGACUGGACAAGUAUUGACGCUGAGGUGCGAAAGCGUGGGGAGCAAACAGGAUUAGAUACCCGCGUAGUCCCUGUCUCUUAUAU